ACACAGCAUCUAAUCAGUGUCACUGCCAGGAAUACGCUUCCGCGGCGGGCGACACCCCGGCCCCCGCCAACCUGCAGGAGGGAGGGGGGGAUGCAAAUGGCGUCUCGCGUCGUCCCAGACUCUGCACAGCUCCCGCUGCCGAGACUCCGAGCAGACGUCGCAGCGGGCCAAGCGUCGCCACUCUGGGGACGCGAACAAGCUGGCGGCCCGCGCCUCUCUCCUGCUACCUGGUCGCGGGAAAACGAACUAGCACCGCUCCCCGGGCCGAGGCCAUUCCCCCGCCCCCACCGCCGGAAGAGCUGCCCUUCCCCGAUGGGAGGGGGGCGGGAAACUUUGCGAGACGACUGUUCCGCGCCUUUCUCGCGUGGCGUCGGAGAGGAACUUGGGUGGGUUUCCCGUCCGAGGCCUGACCACACCCUCCCACUUUUCUAGGCCUCGGACCUGAACCUCGUGGACUACGGAGCGGAGGGGGACACUUCGGGCCACUCGGAGGGCGGCACCGAAGUCAGGCGUCCCCAAGGGCUCUGGCGGACGGCCAAGUUUGUGUUCUUUCCAUCCCACGCCGGAGUAGCGCUCGCUACUUUGGGGAAACUUCAGACUCCUCAACCCCGGCCACGAGGCCACCCCUGUCUUUAAGACCACAUAAGGAACACCAUGAUCCGUGCGUCUGUGCAGCGUGUUCCAGAGUCCCAGCCCUCACCAGCUGUGAGGUCACAUCUCUUGGAAGGCAGUCAUCUACCUCAACCAACAGCUCCGAGAUGCUGGGCAGCGGGACCGUAUCUGCCAUUGGGAGAGCUGCCGCUGGUGCUCUGGGCUGUCCUACUCCUUCCGGUAGCCAAAGAGAGGAUGCGAGUUUUAAAAAUGCAUAUAUUCAGAGAAAAUGACUACCAAGAGAACGACAGAUUAUAUUUUCCAAAAGUGAUGACAACAAUAUCUCCCAUCCCAGCUGCUCAUCUUACGGUGUGACUUUGACAUUCCUCCCAUUGAGAGGGAAUCCAGGGGAGAUCAUACAGGCUUGGUGGUGAACCCGGAGCCAGUUCGUCCUCCUCAUUGGUAUAGACUCUUGAGAAUGUGCACCUACUUUGUGGGAGGAAGAAAAAAUACGGCGCUGCUCAGCUAGUGCACAGAGGAAACCAAAGAGUUCCAAAGGCAUGUUUGGGGACAGAGAGCUGUUUCAGGUAUCUCAAAGUAAAAAAGAUAUAUUUUGUAAAAACUUAAGAUGUAGAUAUUACCAUGGGCGUACUUGCAGCAAGAUUGCCUUCCCCAAACUAUUAAUUCAUAAAACGUCUGUCUCCUAACUGGAAGGUGGGGGAUGCCUGGAGGCACAUCUGGCCCAUCCCACCGCCUUUUGCCUGGAUUGUCCACAAAGCCACUGGGCCAGCAUGUGGCCCUCUGUGCAGAGGCCAAGAAGAGAGGCUGCAGACAGGUGGGGCUGCAGCUUGGCCACAAAGUGCUCCCUACCGCCACCAAGAAUGGAGCUGGGAUGGGGCUCUCCACCCAGCACGAAUCUUUCCCCAUCUCUCCCGUUGCCAGAAGCCUCAGGUGGGCUGG